rnacentral:rRNA from 1 species
GAUGAACGCUGGCGGCGUGCCUAAUACAUGCAAGUCGAGCGCAGCGGGGACGGGUGAGUAACACGUGGAUAACCUCCUAUAAGACUGGGAUAACUUCGGGAAACCGGAGCUAAACCGGAUACUUAUCGAUGGAUCCGCGCUGCAUUAGCUAGUGGGUAAGGUAACGGCUUACCAAGGCCACGAUGCAUAGCCGACGUGAGAGGGGUAUCGGCCACACGGGAACUGAGACACGGGCCAGACUCCUACGGGAGGCAGCAGUAGGGAAUCUUACGCAAUGGGCGAAAGCCGGACGGAGCAACGCCGCGUGAGUGAGGAAGGGCUUCGGAUCGUAAAACUCUGUUAGUAGGGAAGCGGUACCUAAGCAGAAAGCCACGGCUAACUACGUGCCAGCAGCCGCGGUAAUAC